rnacentral:rRNA from 1 species
AUUGAACGCUGGCGGCAUGCCUUACACAUGCAAGUCGAACGGCAGCACGGGUGCUUGCACCUGGUGGCGAGUGGCGAACGGGUGAGUAAUACAUCGGAACAUGUCCUGUAGUGGGGGAUAGCCCGGCGAAAGCCGGAUUAAUACCGCAUACGAUCUACGGAUGAAAGCGGGGGCCCUUCGGGCCUCGCGCUAUAGGGUUGGCCGAUGGCUGAUUAUCUAGUUGGUGGGGUAAAGGCCUACCAAGGCGACGAUCAGUAGCUGGUCUGAGAGAACGACCAGCCACACUGGGACUGAGACACGGCCCAGACUCCUACGGGAGGCAGCAGUGGGGAAUUUUGGACAAUGGGCGAAAGCCUGAUCCAGCAAUGACGCGUGUGUGAAGAAGGCCUUCGGGUUGUAAAGCACUUUUGUCCGGAAAGAAAUCCUUGGCCCUAAUACGGUCGGGGGAUGACGGUACCGGAAGAAUAAGCACCGGCUAACUACGUG